AUACAGACUCUGAGGAAAUCAAAGCAGGUCCCAAGUCAUAGCCUGAGCUCAUCCUACAAAGCCCAUUAUUACUUCAGAAAACUACAUAGAGCCCUAGUCAGUCUCUGGUCUCACACAGAAUCUGAUUUCCAACCUUAUCACAAGGCUGAACUCAGGAGCCCUCAUCACACUGCACAGGACCACUCUCCCUCGGCUCAGCUUUAUCAUGAAGUCCUGAUCCGGUGCAGCCACUUAGGAAGAUGUAAGACCAGCUGGAAAGAAGGAGAAAGUUUGUAGCAUGGUGGGCCACCUGUGAGAGAACUGCCAUCCCAACCUGCAAAGCCCCACGGAGCAGGAGAGGACUCACGGGGAGGACCACAAGACUGAUCCUCUGAGUGGUCAGCGCUGACCCCCUAAGAUGCUGAGAGGUGGUCUACCAAGAACCUCCCCCCACUGACCUGCAGGAGACUAGCAGACACCCUUCCAGCCCAUUGGAAAAAUAAGUGCUGGAGAUUGCUCCUGCAUCCUGGACAACCUGAAGCUGUGACUCCUUAGGGAUCCAAGUCCCUAGAGCACCAGCCAGAGACACUGGUCAAAGGCUGCAAAUGGGCAGCCAUCCAGCCUUCCUCCCUCACUGCCCACUGCCUUGGAGGAGCCAGGCUCCUGGGGACUGCUGGAGAGACGAGGACCAUCCAGCUUCCGCCCCAGGAUCCAAGGUGCUGUCCAGCAGACCCCAUCCAUCACAGGCAAGCUUGUAGUGGUGCCACAGUGCUGCCAUGGCCCUCUGGGAAGAUGAUGGGAACACAGCCACUCAUGUCCAGCACCAGUCUUCACAUAAGGCCACCCAUGGACCCCUGACACUGGAAAGCAGGCAGAGCCAUGGGACCCUCUGCAGCCACCAGCAUGACCCCACACAGUAGUCCUCCCUAGAGGACUGUACCUCUAGCUGCUCAGCUGUGUGUUGGGGCUUUGAAAGACUUCAUGACUAGAGGGCUCCCAUCUCCAUAUCCCCCAUCUGCCAGGAUGCAGAUGGUCCCAAUGUCCUCAGGCUCUAGAAGCUUCCAGCGAGCAUCUCACCCUGGGCCAGACCUCCAGCCCACUUCCCCUGGCUGCUCCGACCUCAGGUAUUGCGAUGAAAAACAAACGCAGCUUGUGGUUUGCCUUUUCCAUCGCCUCCUCCGGCUGCCUGGCCCAAGGUGCUGAGGC